CGCCGCGUGAGUGAUGAAGGGUUUCGGCUCGUAAAGCUCUGUUGUUAGGGAAGAACAAGUAUCGUUCGAAUAGGGCGGUACCUUGACGGUACCUAACCAGAAAGCCACGGCUAACUACGUGCCAGCAGCCGCGGUAAUACGUAGGUGGCAAGCGUUGUCCGGAAUUAUUGGGCGUAAAGCGCGCGCAGGCGGUCUUUUAAGUCUGAUGUGAAAGCCCCCGGCUCAACCGGGGAGGGUCAUUGGAAACUGGGAGACUUGAGUACAGAAGAGGAGAGUGGAAUUCCACGUGUAGCGGUGAAAUGCGUAGAUAUGUGGAGGAACACCAGUGGCGAAGGCGACUCUCUGGUCUGUAACUGACGCUGAGGCGCGAAAGCGUGGGGAGCAAACAGGAUUAGAUACCCUGGUAGUCCACGCCGUAAACGAUGAGUGCUAGGUGUUAGGGGUUUCGAUGCCCUUAGUGCCGAAGUUAACACAUUAAGCACUCCGCCUGGGGAGUACGACCGCAAGGUUGAAACUCAAAGGAAUUGACGGGGGCCCGCACAAGCAGUGGAGCAUGUGGUUUAAUUCGAAGCAACGCGAAGAACCUUACCAGGUCUUGACAUCCUUUGACCACCCUAGAGAUAGGGCUUUCCCCUUCGGGGGACAAAGUGACAGGUGGUGCAUGGUUGUCGUCAGCUCGUGUCGUGAGAUGUUGGGUUAAGUCCCGCAACGAGCGCAACCCUUGAUCUUAGUUGCCAG
rnacentral:rRNA from 1 species